UUUAUUUGAAUGAGGGAAAUUAGCCACGCCUCCUGCCUUGGAAAGGAGAAGGAAGUCUGAGGUGGUGGCGCUGCGCCUUUUAGUUGCAGUGUGAAGUGUGUUUUGAGUGGAGCUUCGCUUUUCCCAUAAUCACUGUGGUCUAGCCCGACCUCAAGAAAUCUAUACUAGAGGAAACAGAAGAGUAAACAGGAAAUUUUUGGCUUCUGCUUCCAAGUGAGAUGUGGUUGGUUUCACAAUGCCUGAUCUCAAAGUCCUGCUAGAGGAAUAGGUAUGUUAUACACACAGCAGAGAACUCCAAAUAUCACCCUCAAGAAGUUUGAAACCUGAGGUGAACUCAAAGUGACAUUGAAAUCCAAAUCCAACAGAGCAUAAUGCCUGAUUGGCUCAGAUUCAUUGUCUCUUAUUCCAACUUCCUAACAGUGGAAAAGAUAUGCACUCCCUGGGACAAAAUCUUGCAGUUCCCAUAAGCUUUUGGAUAUACAAUGCUCAACAUACAAUAAAAAAAAAAUACAAUACAUACAAAUAUGAAGAAAAAUGUAACUUGCAAUCAAGAGAAAAUACAGCCAUUAGAAGCAGACCCACAGAGUGACCCAGAUGUUGGAAUCGGCAGACAAGGACUUUUAAAUUAGUAUUAUGAAUGUGUUAAGGAAAGCUCAGGAAAAGAUAUAUGAAACAGAUGAAAAUAUAUAGAACUUAAACAAUAAAGCUGUAUCUAUAAAAAAGAGCAAAUAGGACUGGGUCAGUUGGUAGAGUAUUUGACUCUUGAUUUCAGGGUUAUGAGUUUAAGCCCUGUUGGGCAUAGAGC